rnacentral:rRNA from 1 species
AUCUAUAGCCUUGCCACCCUGAACAAGCCCGAUCAUGUCUGAUCUUGGAAACUAAGCAGAGUUGGGCCUGGUUAGUACUUGGAUGGGAGUCCACCUAGGAAGACCAGGUGCUGUAGGUG